UUAUGACCAUAUCAUGUUGAAACACCAGUUCCCAUACAAUCACCAAAGUUAAGCAAUGUCAAGCCUAUUCAAUACUUAUAUGGGUGACCACUUGGGAAUACCAGGUGCUGUAAG